AACGAACGCUGGCGGCAUGCCUAACACAUGCAAGUCGAACGAAGCCUUCGGGCUUAGUGGCGCACGGGUGCGUAACGCGUGGGAAUCUGCCCUUGGGUUCGGAAUAACAGUUAGAAAUGACUGCUAAUACCGGAUGAUGUCUUCGGACCAAAGAUUUAUCGCCCAAGGAUGAGCCCGCGUAGGAUUAGGUAGUUGGUGGGGUAAUGGCCCACCAAGCCGACGAUCCUUAGCUGGUCUGAGAGGAUGAUCAGCCACACUGGGACUGAGGAACGGGCCAGACUCCUACGGGAGGCAGCAGUGGGGAAUAUUGGACAAUGGGCGAAAGCCUGAUCCAGCAAUGCCGCGUGAGUGAUGAAGGCCUUAGGGUUGUAAAGCUCUUUUACCAGGGAUGAUAAUGACAGUACCUGGAGAAUAAGCUCCGGCUAACUACGUGCCAGCAGCCGCAGUAA
rnacentral:rRNA from 1 species